rnacentral:misc_RNA from 1 species
GAUCAUUAUUGAUUUUAUCUAUUUCUGUGGAUUUCUAUGUAUAUUACAGCGUCAUUUUAUCUCAAUUAUAACUAUCAACAACGGAUCUCUUGGCUCUCACAUCGAUGAAGAACGCAGCGAACCGCGAUAUUUUUUGUGACUUGCAGAUGUGAAUCAUCAAUCUUUGAACGCACAUUGCGCGGUAUGGCAUUCCGUACCGCACGGAUGGAGGAGCGUGUUCCCUCUGGGAUCGCAUUGCUUUCUUGAAAUGGAUUUUUUAAACUCUCAAUUAUUACGUCAU